GGCUGGGGCUGGGCCUGGACAAAGCAGGAAGCUGGAACUCACUCCAGGUCUGGUGCAGGGGUGGCAGGGACCUGGUCAGCUGAGCCGGAACCUGCUGUCUGUCAGGCUGCACAUCAGCAGGAAGCUGGAAUCAGGGGCAGAGCCAGCACUGAAGCCCACGCACUGCCCUGUGCGUGGCAGGCCUCCCAGCGGGCCUCUUGACUGCCGGGCCUGAUGCCUACCCUGAAUCUGCUUGCCUGUGCAUUUGGUGCCAUAGCUAAGAAAUCAUCCUCUGAUUCGAGGCUGUGAAGAUUUGCACCUGUGCUGUCCUGUAACAAUUUAGUGGCUUUAGCUUUUGUCUUUGAUCUGCUUUGAGCUGAUUUUGGUCUACGGUGUGAGACAGGGGUCUGACUUCAUAUCUGGUCGUCUCUGCCUUCACCCAUCCAUGUACAGGUGAACAGCUUGUGUGCUCCAUUAGAAAAAGGGCUGUGCUUGGUUUUGCUCACCAUUCUUUCCCAGAAUCUACUUAGUUCCAUGCCGGACACAUACAAGAGGCUAAAUGCAGGCUGGGUGAACAAACACAGACGUGAUGGAGGUCCAGAGAGGCUCAACAACUUGGCAAAGGUCACUCAGAGGACAUGGCUCAAGCUCACGUCUUUCCACUUGUUUCUCAUUAAGAGUUUUUUGUAGUUCUAAAUUUCUGAAACUUUCUUGGUUGGCAAAAGCCUUUGCUACAAGAAACCAGAUUUCCCUAAAAUUUCUUUUGCUUCCUCUUUGUGUAUCACUCUGAUACUGUUUGUAAAAAAGCAACUUCUCAAAUUGAGUGGCUUGUGCUGCUUCUGCCUCCGGCUCCUCUACACUUGCUCCAGCCACACAAAGAUUCCACUUCCUGCUACGGGGGUUUUAUAGUUGGAAAGUUCUAGAUAUCUGACCAUAGCCUCCUGUUGCACAAGCUCUCAUGAGUGUUUAGUGCAACCAUUUAUUAAGUGUGUGGUGUGUUUUGGAAGGCAUCUUGCAAAUGGGCAAAGUUUUAUGCUCUCUGCUCUGCGUGAAAGGCUACCUCGGUGAAGCCUUGCUCUGGCCCUGAAGUGGGCUUCACUUUUUGGACUAUGAGUUCUUUCUGGUCAUCUCAGAGAACGGAGCCAGGUGGCAGAAACUCCAACAACAAAGUUCUGAUGGACUCGCCUUCUGGAAGUGAGGGUGAGUGAGAGUCUUGCAGGAAAAAAAGAGCUGUGUUUCUCAAGGGGUCCAAAAUUGAAGCUGAACUUGGGGCGAGUUAGGUUGAUUUGCCCGCCCCCAUAUUGGCAGGGUUGCGUUUGGGCUCCCCCUGUCGGAACCUUUUGGCAAAUAAUUCUUUACAUCACAGGAAAAUUGGGGGUGGGGUGAAAGGAAGAACAUUUAUUGAAAGCUGGUUCCAGAUACAUAUUAGGCAUUUUAUUUAGGCAUCUCAUUUUCUUUUUAAAGCAAUACCACAGGUGGGUUCUCUCACUCCUGUUUUGCAGAGUUGGAUGCUAAAACUUGCCCAAAGUCAUGCAAGGAUUUGAACCCUGGGCUUUCCAUUCCCUUCCUAGUGCCCUGCGAUCAUUGGGCAGAAAUGGUGCCUGGGGGCCCCGUGGAGUUCUGGUGAUCCUCCUGACUGUGGGGUGCUGGGGCAGGCUGAGAGCAGCCAGAGAGGGCGAUUGUUAAAUAUUUAGAAAACUGUUGGUGGUUAGAGAGCUACCCCGGGAGGGAGUAUUUACACCAUGGAAAUUGGCAGCCACUGCAAGCUAGAGAUCCUCGUGUGCCCCACAAGCUGGAUUCCCGGUCCAUCAGUGUCACGAACUCACCUCUGAGGUGCUAGACCCCCUGAACAGAGCACAACCUUGGGAGAGUGAGAGCUGGAGAGGUGCCCGGUGCCCGGUGGUCACUGACCGACAGCUGCAGACAGAAGAAGGGGAGACACGUCUUCUGGAAAACAAGGAGAGACCACUGUUACUCACAGGUGUGUGACCCAACCCUACGGGGUCCAGGCGGGAGAGCCACCAUCUCCAGGUAACACUCACACAGUGAGAGGUGAGCGGGGUGUGGUCAUUUGUUCCAGGUACUGUUGACCCUCUUUGAGGCUCACCCUAGAGCAAGAGAUUGUGAUCAAAGUGAAACGCGCCUUGCACGGCAGGAUCCGUGGGACUGCUGAGACAUUUAGGAUUGAUGAGUCUCUUUGGCAGGGCAGGCUUCCACCUGCUGGUACCGCUCCCGGCCUAAGGUGGGCGGGCGUGGACCUCACGGGCAAGGCGGACCCUGGAGUCUGUGCAAUCAGAGGGAGGCCUGACCUCACAGGCUGUUUCUGGAGCUCAGAAUCUUUGAGAGCCUCACAUCCGUCCGUGUCAAGUUGGAGGAGAGGUACUUAGUGCCGGGGCAGCUGUUGUGUGCUCACUCCGAGGCCAUGCUCCAGGGGAGGAGAGACCCCUGUCUGACCUGCAACAAAAAGCACCAGAGGUCUGGAUUCCUGCCCAAGGGACCACCUGCCGAGAAACACAGGCAAUUUGGGGAAGCUGGGUGAUCUCCUCCCAACAACCAUAACCCGCAGACGCCUGGUCUACCAUCGAUCACGCCUGUGGCUCAGUACAAAGGGGCGUUCUCACCAGACAGGAGUCUUCACGGCCAAGCGAGGUGAGUGGAAGUGUCAGAUCUGCAGGUGCCACGUGCACUUUCCUCAAUACUCCUCCAGCAAGGAGACACAGCCACAGUGGUACUGUAAGACCCCUGCUAAAAGUAAGUAUUAAAAUAAUAUUAUAGUAAAGGGUUAAAAAGUUUAGCUGCUGACAGUAGACAUUCCUUAAAAUAACUGUGUCUCCACCUGCCUGCAGAAUAACCUUGGGAAACUGCCUUGUGAAACUGCUCUGUGUAACUGUCUCACGCCAUAACACUUGCAGAAGUCCGGAAAAGAGUUGCAAUAAGAUUUUAUUUAUUUAUUUGAAACUCAGAGAGAGAUCUUCCAUCUGCUGAUUCACUCCCCAAAUGGCUGCAACGGCCAGGUUUGGGCCAGGCUGAAGCCAGGAGCCAGGAGCUUCAUCGGAGUCUCCCACGUGGGUGGCAGGGGGAUUCACACAGGGGAGAAACCCAGAAAACAUCUUCCCGGAAUCCAAGCAUAAUAGGCAACAUGGAAUUCACACAUGAGAAACCUUUGGAGAGCAAGGAAUGUGAAAAACAAAACAAAACAAAACGAACAACAAAAUAACUUUUGCCAGAAGUGAGACCUCAAGAGGCAUCAGAGGAACCGUGGGAGGCAAAAACCCCAGCUAUGUAACGGAUGGAAAAGGUCCGUUGGCAGAAGUUUGGUCUUCAGCCUGAAUCCAAGGAUUCACAGCUGAGACAACGAGUGUGCGGGCAAGCCUUCUACCGCAAAUCAUUCUCGCUGUCCAGCAAAGAGCUCACACGGGGGAAAAACCCUACGAAUGUAAUGCAAGUGGAAACACCUUGUACUAGAAAGGCACGCUGCCACCAACAGCAACAUUACACAGAGGAAACUCUGGAAGCGUGAUGGAUGUGGAAACAGCCCUUGCUGGAGGUCACGCCUCAGCAGGUGACUAGCGGAUUCACACGGGGCAGUGAUGCUGUGCGACACAGCUUGGCCGGGCGCGUCAAUCAGGAUCUGCUUUCUUCUCUCUGACAAACAAGCUGCAUUUUUGUCCUCGCCUUACUGUAAGUGAGGCAAUGAAGCUGAGCUCUCUGCUGUCAGGCGUGAAUUUUGUUAACAAAUAAUUAUUCGGUCUAUAACACUCAAAAAUAAAUAAAUAAAUGGGCUAAUGCAUGCAAAGGCCCUAGCCCAGCACCUGGCAUGUGGGAGAACUCAGUACAGACUAGCGUGUGAAGGGAAGGGGUAUUUGGCACUUGGCAUGCUUGCAUCCCCAAUCACAGUGCUUGAGCUGGAGUCCCUGCUACUCUGCCUCCAGCUUCCUGCUAAUGUGCACCCCUGGGAGGCAGCAGACUCAAGUACUUGGGUCCCUGCCACCCAUGGGGGACACCCAUGUGGGUGCAGGGGCCCAAGAACUUAGGCCAUCUUCCACUGCUCUCCCAGGCCACAGCAGAGAGCUGGAUGGGAAGUGGAGCAGCUGGGACUCGAACUGGCGCCCCUAUGGGAUGCUGGCUUGCAGGCGGCCGCUUUAUACCACAGCGCCAACCCCUAAUUUCUAGAUCUUCUGACUUAAGAGCAUUCAGGUUGUGAAGCAGGAUUUACCUUUGUUUGAAACAGAGACCCAUGGUGUAUGGUUGACAGCCAGGCCACUUGGUGGUGGUAUUUGGCGAAGCGUCCCAACCCCCUCUCUUUCAGGAUCACAGAGCCAAUUGGGAGCAGAAAUAUCAGUCACACCAGCAGAUCUCACUCAUCUGGCGAGGUACUGGACAAUGCCAGAAUCUGGGCUCCAGAUGGGCAGACGCUGGAACCACUGGAGAUCUCGGGCCCCGCCCCUCGGUCAGGUGGCUGAGUGUCCCCUGCACUCCUGGGUCUCUCCUCAGUGCUGGGGAGAGGUGGCCGGGACAAGGAAGAGCCUUUUAGAGAGAGGGAGAGAAGCAGCCCUGCGGUCUGGGGCCUUGAAGUGGUCUUUACUUAACAUGGCCAAGAUUCCUAGGUUCAGGUCAGUGGGAAAUCUAGCCUGGAAUCUGGGACCUGUAGGGUUUUUUGUUUGUUUUUCAGAUUCCCCCAAAUGUCUUACAUGGUCAAAACCAGUUG